rnacentral:rRNA from 1 species
UGGGGAAUAUUGGACAAUGGGCGAAAGCCUGAUCCAGCCAUGCCGCGUGUGUGAAGAAGGUCUUCGGAUUGUAAAGCACUUUAAGUUGGGAGGAAGGGCAGUAAGCGAAUACCUUGCUGUUUUGACGUUACCGACAGAAUAAGCACCGGCUAACUCUGUGCCAGCAGCCGCGGUAAUACAGAGGGUGCAAGCGUUAAUCGGAAUUACUGGGCGUAAAGCGCGCGUAGGUGGUUCGUUAAGUUGAAUGUGAAAGCCCCGGGCUCAACCUGGGAACUGCAUCCAAAACUGGCGAGCUAGAGUAGGGCAGAGGGUGGUGGAAUUCCCUGUGUAGCGGUGAAAUGCGUAGAUAUAGGAAGGCACACCAGUGGCGAAGGCGACCACCUGUGCUCAUACUGACACUGAGGUGCGAAAGCGUGGGGAGCAAACAGG